GAUGUGUUCCGAGGUUUACCACGGAACAGCACAGAACAGCCUCCCGCGACCCCGAGCUCUCCUUGCCCUCGACCUAUCUCUUCCUCUCCUCCUCCUCCGUCUCCAUCCCCCGAGCACUUCCUUCUCCUCCAUCUCCGUCUCUGCCCCCGUCUUCACUCCUUCUCCUCUGUCUCCGCUGGAGGUCACCCCGAGCACUUCCUUCUCCGCCCCCGUCUUCACUCCUUCUCCUCUGUCUCCCUUGGAGGGCGACCGCCGCAGCAGCGCUUGAGGCCGUUCGUAAUUGCUGCGUUUAGCACUCUCUCUCCUCCUUCGAAACCCUUCUACUAGGGUUUUCUCUUGAGGAUUGAAACGGCCGACGCUUCACCAUCAGCUCCUCAGCUUCCUCUUCUCCCCUUCUUAGCAGGAACGACAGCUCUCCGCAGCAGCGACUCUUCCGCUCGAGGCCACCAGCAGACCAACCGUAGCUUCCAUUGCAGCCCAGCAGCAGCUUCUCGUCGAGAAACCAGACGGUGAUGCAUCUUCUAAAAUAUCAUAUGGUUUUGAUGAGAAGAAUAGUGUGCAUGACAGAAGACUAGUUAUCUAGCGAAUUGUCAUAGUUGUUUUUGUUUCAUGGACAUAAUAAAUAUAAUAGCCAAAACUGAUUAAAGAAGAACAAAUAUAAACAAACACUAGACAUAACUAACCAUGUAAGACACAAACAUUGGACAAGACAGAACAGAUAGAUCGAACAAGACAAAAACAAACGUCAGAAUAGACAGAACAGACACACACGAAACAAACGCCAGACAAGAAGAACGUAGUGUUCUGUUCCUAAAAUCAUCAAACGGUGAACAAGGAACAUCAUUGUCUAUGAGGACAAGACAACAGUGUAAUGAACAAGACGUUCUGUCUGUAUUGUUUCAAUGGACAGCAAUCAAGUUACCUCUAAGUGAAUCUUCCACAAUUUUUGCGAUAAGUUUUGACAUAAAUUCCUGCAAUACUACCUGGUUCUGCAAUUACCAAAUGCUUCCUACGUCAUGUGUUUCAUAUGGAAUCAGUUGCAUCUUAUUUUUUGGAUGGUAAGAACAAGAUAUAUUUUCGUCCUCCUGACGAGAAAAUUAAACAGCCCUUAAAAAGGG